rnacentral:rRNA from 1 species
GAUGAACGCUGGCGGCGUGCUUAACACAUGCAAGUCGAACGGAAAGGCCCAAGCUUGCUUGGGUACUCGAGUGGCGAACGGGUGAGUAACACGUGGGUGAUCUGCCCUGCACUUCGGGAUAAGCCUGGGAAACUGGGGCUAAUACCGGAUAGGACGAUGGUUUGGAUGCCAUUGUGGAAAGUUUUUUCGGUGUGGGAUGUGCUCGCGGCCUAUCAGCUUGUUGGUGGGGUAAUGGCCUACCAAGGCGUCGUCGGGUAGCCGGCCUGAGAGGGUGUACGGCCACAUUGGGACUGAGAUACGGCCCAGACUCCUACGGGAGGCAGCAGUGGGGAAUAUUGCACAAUGGGCGCAAGCCUGAUGCAGCGACGCCGCGUGUGGGAUGACGGCCUUCGGGUUGUAAACUCCUUUCGCUAGGGACGAAGCGUUUUUGUGACGGUACCUGGAGAAGAAGCACCGGCUAACUACGUG